UACGUAGGGGGCUAGCGUUGUCCGGAAUCAUUGGGCGUAAAGCGCGUGUAGGCGGUCCGGUAAGUCCGCUGUGAAAGUCGAGGGCUCAACCCUCGAAUGCCGGUGGAUACUGUCGGGCUAGAGUGCGGAAGAGGCGAGUGGAAUUCCUGGUGUAGCGGUGAAAUGCGCAGAUAUCAGGAGGAACACCAAUUGCGAAGGCAGCUCGCUGGGACGUAACUGACGCUGAGACGCGAAAGCGUGGGGAGCAAACGGG
rnacentral:rRNA from 1 species